CAUUGAAAAAUCCCAAAAAUCAGUACAUUCAUCAAUUUAUAAUACUUAUACAGUCAUAUUUUCUCCCUCAGUGAACCCAUCUCCCUAAUUUAAACUAUCACAUAUAGAAGGUUACUAACACCUGAUUUCUUUCCUGGUUACUCCCCGCUUCCUUGACCAAACAUUCUUCUAUACCCUUCCAUUUUCCUCUCAAAUCUCCAUCUCCUUUUUGCCCUUCCAUCCGUAAUCCGUUAUUACUCAAUAUUUGAAAUUUCAUCACAUCUAGUAAAUAAUACGUCCAUUUCUCCAAUGUCCACUUGCUACUUUCUUUCCAACCAAAAGUGGAGGAGCUUCUAAUGAUAGCAUGCUACAUAUUCCCCUGGAGAGCAUCACACCCCUGGAGCUAUCAGUUGCUCCCCUUCCUCAAUAAUUUAUCAAUAUCUCAGGUUUUAUUUGUUCCCCUGUAGCCAAUUAUGUACAAAUUCAACAGUGACAGAGGCAAAGAUUGUUUUCAUUGCUUUCUUCUGGUUUUUCCUAAAGCUUAAACCUUCCAAUGGACAACUUCCAUUGGUUUCAGCCAGCACAGAUAUGUUGACUUGGGCUGAUGGGAGUUCUAGUCCAAAAUGUCUGGAUGACAUCAACUUGAGAACGGAUUUUAUGGACCAUGCAGGCUUUUGGGAAACCAUCUAUGCUUCUAUGGGACUGGAAAUUGAGGCAGGGAACCAUCGGUGUCUAUUACUGUCCUCAGCUGUCUUACAUGCACACUGGGAAGGGGAAUUGUGAGUUCCCUACUGCAAGAGAGAACUAGGGCUGCAGGUCUACAUCUUUCCCUUGAAACUGGAGUGCUAGUAAGGGUAAGUGAGGGUAUGACCCCUUCCUGAUUUCUUUUGGUUAAUGAUAA
rnacentral:lncRNA from 1 species